rnacentral:rRNA from 1 species
UACGUAGGGUGCGAGCGUUGUCCGGAAUUAUUGGGCGUAAAGAGCUUGUAGGCGGUUUGUCGCGUCUGCUGUGAAAAUCCGGGGCUCAACCCCGGACUUGCAGUGGGUACGGGCAGACUAGAGUGUGGUAGGGGAGGACUGGAAUUCCUGGUGUAGCGGUGAAAUGCGCAGAUAUCAGGAGGAACACCGAUGGCGAAGGCAGGUCUCUGGGCCACUACUGACGCUGAGAAGCGAAAGCAUGGGGAGCGAACAGGAUUAGAUACCCG